rnacentral:rRNA from 1 species
UACGAGGAGGUCACAGCUAUUCGGUCGAUUCAUUGGGCGUAAAGGGUGUGUAGGUGGCGCGCUAAGUCGGGUGUGAAAUUUCGGAGCUUAACUCCGAAACUGCAUUCGAUACUGGCGUGCUUGAGGACUGGAGAGGAGACUGGAAUUCAUGGUGUAGCAGUGAAAUGCGUAGAGAUCAUGAGGAAGACCAGUGGCGAAGGCGGGUCUCUGGACAGUUCCUGACACUGAGACACGAAGGCCAGGGGAGCAAACGGG